rnacentral:lncRNA from 10 species
CAAUCGUGUAUUCAUCUGGUGCUCAGUAAAUUGGCACUUCACAUAAGAUAAGUUGAGGUCUUUCUUGGCCAGUGCCUGCCUCCCUGGCGCCUGUGGUUUCAGUGAUGGGGAUUCUUCCAUGCGUCACUUGGAGCGACCUCGUCUGUUCCUGUGGACUCACUGACACACUAAAGACACCAGCUCAGCCCUGACCUCUCACCUGAGCGCCUCCUUACCAAGUCAUCCAGAUGGCUCCCCAGGGAUGAGCAGCAACAAAACGGGCACGUGGGUGCCCAGCACACGUCAGGUGAUGUUCUAAGCCCCUUGCGCGUACCCAGUCACUUACCGUUCACUGCAGCCCCGGGAUGAGCUCUGCGAU